UGAGCCAUGGUGUAGUGGUUUGAACAUUGGAAUAGGAAUCUGGAGACCAGGGUUCGAAUCUCUGCUCAG